UACGGGGGGUGCAACCGUUGCUCGGAAUCAUUGGGCGUAAAGCGCACGUAGGCGGUUUGUUAAGUCGGGUGUGAAAGCCCAGGGCUCAACCCUGGAAGUGCACUCGAAACUGGCAGGCUUGAAUAUGGAAGAGGGUCGCGGAAUUCCCGGUGUAGAGGUGAAAUUCGUAGAUAUCGGGAGGAACACCAGUGGCGAAGGCGGCGACCUGGGCCAAUAUUGACGCUGAGGUGCGAAAGCGUGGGGAGCAAACAGG
rnacentral:rRNA from 1 species